rnacentral:rRNA from 1 species
CCCUUAGAUGUUCUGGGCCGCACGCGCGCUACACUGACGAAUGCAACGAGCUUAUAACCUUGGCCGAAAGGUCUGGGUAAUCUCCAAAUUUCGUCGUGAUGGGGAUAGAUUAUUGCAAUUAUUAAUCUUCAACGAGGAAUGCCUAGUAAGCGUGAUUCAUCAAAUCGCGUUGAUUACGUCCCUGCCCUUUGUACACACCGCCCGUCGCUCCUACCGAUUGAAUGUGUUGGUGAGGAGCUCGGAUUGGCAGCAGUUGGUGGUUCGCCACCGGCUAUUGCUGAGAAGUCCUCCAAACCGCCCCAUUUAGAGGAAGGAGAAGUCGUAACA